rnacentral:tRNA from 1 species
AGCCCAGUGGUUAGGGCACUCACCUGGAAUGUGGGAGAUGUGGUUUCAAUUCCCUC